rnacentral:tRNA from 1 species
AAUAAAGUGCCUGAUAAAAGGAUUAUCUUGAUAGGAUAAAUUAUAUACAAUUGUAUCUUUAUUA